rnacentral:rRNA from 1 species
CCUACGGGAGGCAGCAGUGGGGAAUAUUGGGCAAUGGAGGCAACUCUUACCCAGCAAUGCCGCGUGAAUGAAGAAGGUCCUCGGAUUGUAAAGUUCUUUAAUUGGGGACGAAAAAAAUGACGGUACCCAAGGAAUAAGCCUCGGCUAACUACGUGCCAGCAGCCGCGGCAAUACGUAGGGGGCAAGCGUUGUUCGGAAUGACUGGGCGUAAAGGGUGUGUAGGCGGUGUAGCAAGUUCGAAGGGAAAUACCUAGGGCUUAACUCAGGUGCUGCUUCUAAAACUGCGAGACUUGAGUGCAGUAGAGGAAAGUGGAAUUCCUGGGGUAGCGGUGGAAUGCGUAGAUAUUAAGAGGAACAUCAGUGGCGAAGGCGACUUUCUGGACUGUAACUGACGCUGAGGCACGAAAGUGUGGGGAGCAAACAGGAUUAGAUACCCCAGUAGUC